rnacentral:rRNA from 1 species
UACGUAGGGUGCGAGCGUUGUCCGGAAUUAUUGGGCGUAAAGGGCUCGUAGGCGGUUUGUCGCGUCGGGAGUGAAAACACUGGGCUUAACCGAGUGCUUGCUUUCGAUACGGGCAGACUUGAGGCAUUGAGGGGAGAACGGAAUUCCUGGUGUAGCGGUGAAAUGCGCAGAUAUCAGGGGGAACACCGGUGGCGAAGGCGGUUCUCUGGCAAUGUUCUGACGCUGAGGAGCGAAAGUGUGGGGAGCGAACAGG